CAUGAGAUUUCUGUGCCCUCUGGGUUCCUUUAAACAGAGCCUAUCUUGCCAACUGUUUGCUGUUAUUUGCCAUCAAGUUGACUUUGACUUAUGAUGACCCUAUGAAGGAGAGAUCUCCAUGAUCUAUCAGCCCUGCAUCAACUGCCCUGCUUAGGUCUUGCAAAAUCAGGGUAACUUACUGGAAAAGACAGCAAUACUUAACAUAAUGGGUGGCAGUGGAAAAGAGAACGACUGAAUUACAGGGAGCUUGAUUCAGUCAAGGAAACUAUGGUUGCCCUGAGUUUGCAAGACCCAACCAGAGCAGAGCUCUGUUGUUUUGUAUCUGGUGGAGUUGGGAAUAAGUUUUGGCCCAAGGUUUGCUGAUGUAUGUGCAUUUUUGGCUGAGUAAGGAUGAACCCUCUCCUCUCCAUCAUCUCCCACCCCCCACCUCUUGCAAGCCCAUAAGAGUCUAUCAUCUCUGCUCCACAUGGCUGGGAAAGAUUUGUCUGCCCUUUCAAAAUAUUCUCCCGAGAAAUGCACACUGGCUGUUUCUGCAGUCCCAGUCAAUCGAGUGGCACAAUGAAGACAUUGAUGAUUAAUUGAAUGCCAUCCAAGAAAGCACAAGCGCCUGGUUGGAGUCCUGUUAGUCAGUCCCAAGUAAAGCAUGCACACUGAAUCAGUUGUUGAGUGCUGAGUCAACAGUUUCCAGGUUCACUGUCCAAAGUGCUAAUCUUUUUUGCCAUUGACUCACAUGGGAGAGGAACAGCUUAGCUCCAGUUCUUCUUGCCUUUACCCUCCAGAUGUAUUUCAAGAUCCCGGCAUGAUGAUGGAUCCUGAAGAGAGCGCUUGAAGAUUUGGAGUAGAUAGUGGUGGCACCGUGAGCUGCGCUCUUACUUGAAGAAGUAGCUGAGGGCAUUCGCAUCAGCUCGGAUCAGAGAGAAUGGAUUUGUUCCUACACAGGUGAUAGCAAAAGCCGUAAUUAGAAAUGCAGCGGGCGGAAUUGUCAAGCUCUAUACAGCCGAUGAUCAUUAAAACAGCCCACCAAAAACACAAGGGGCGGAGGGGAGAGACAGCCCUUUGAUAUACUUCCUACACUGCAAAGAAACAGAAAGACAACUUUUUUUUAACUUCGGCAUCUGUUGACGCCGGGUAGUCGAUAUUCAUUUGGGAGCAAAAACAAAACCGGUGUCAUCAAAUAUCUGCACUUUGUCUCCUUAUAAAUAUGGAAAUUCCUCCAAAAAGUGUGAUAAAUAUUCUGCAGCACCUUCCUCACAAAUGUACAGUAUAAUCUCUAAGGAAAUGGAACAGCUCUGCCUCCUGCUUGUCUAGACCUGACAGUAUAGCGGUUUCCUAAGGGACUCAAUGUAUUCUUCCUACAAAGAGGACCUUGUAUUGGGUAGAAGCAGGCAUAGUUCUCAGAGUGGGAUGUUCUGGAACGUCAAAUAGAGAAACAAAUCUUUACUGCCCUUCUUUCUAUGGUCCUUGUCCCCUUUCGGUGCAUAGUGAUGGUGGCAGCGGCAGUGAUGGUGUUCUAGUGUUUUUGUCUACACACAUCCUUCCUCUAGAAAACACCACCGUAAAAUGUAGAUCGCGAUCCUAAAAGCGAAUAAUGCUCUGCAUGCACAGCUCCAUGCUUUGCCCCAAUGACUGCUGUUAGUUAUCACCAGUUCUUUAGCAACUCUGAUUCUGUGGUCAUGAACUGAAUGUGGAUAUUGUAUGUUGGACAAAACCAUAGAGGAACGUGGAAUCAUGGAAGCAUGGCAUUGCAAAGGACCACAAGGAUCCUGCAGUCCCACCUCAUGCUAUACAGAAAUACAUAACUGAAACACAUAUGAGAGAUGGCCAUCCAGCCCCUGUUUUAUUGUUAAUUGUCAUCAAAUAAACUUUGACUUAUUUAAUUUAUAUGCCUC